GUGACUCGUUUAGAAAAGAAGCCAAAUGAUACUGACAAAAUGCUUGCCAAUUUGGCAGAUUUUUGACAAAUUGACAUACGGAUGACAUAUUGACAAGGUUGGAAUUUCUGUCAACAGGAGUGCGGGUAACCCGUUACGAGAGGAAACCAAAUGAUACUGACAAGUUGCUUGCUAAUUCGACGGAUUUUUGACAAAUUUUCAUUCGGAUGACGAAUUGACAAAGGGGAUAAGAAGGCUGCAAGAGUUUUUUUCCUGAUAUGCCGAACAAGCUAAUGGUUGGUUUCUUUUUUACCUCAACAGGAUUGCGGGUGACUCGUUUAGAAAGGAAGCCAAAUGAUACUGACAAGUUGCUUGCCAAUUUGACAGAUUUUUGACAAAUUGACAUACGGAUGACAAAUUGACAAAGGGGAUAAGAAGUUCGUGUUUUGUUGUAAAUGACUAUUUUUCCAGCUUUGACAAGUUUUUAUUCAGGGCUGCAGUAGUUUCUUUCCAGAUAUGCCGAACGAGCUAAUGGUUACAACAGUAUUUUCGAAACAUCUGGAUGUUUCGCAAAAUAAUUCAGAAUCGUUUUCAGCUGACUGAGGCAAGCUCAUUUUUCUUUCAGGUUGGUUUCUUUUUUACC